rnacentral:rRNA from 1 species
UGGGGAAUAUUGGACAAUGGGCGAAAGCCUGAUCCAGCCAUGCCGCGUGUGUGAAGAAGGUCUUCGGAUUGUAAAGCACUUUAAGUUGGGAGGAAGGGCAGUAAGCGAAUACCUUGCUGUUUUGACGUUACCGACAGAAUAAGCACCGGCUAACUCUGUGCCAGCAGCCGCGGGAAUACAGAGGGUGCAAGCGUUAAUCGGAAUUACUGGGCGUAUAGCGCGCGUAGGUGGUUCGUUAAGUUGAAUGUGAAAGCCCCGGGCUCAACCUGGGCACUGCAUCCAAAACUGGCGAGCUAGAGUAGGGCAGAGGAUGGUGGAAUUUCCUGUGUAGCGGUGAGAUGCGUAGAUAUAGGAAGGAACACCAGUGGCGAAGGCGACCACCUGGGCUCAUACUGACACUGAGGUGCGAAAGCGUGGGGAGCAAACAGG